UACGUAGGGUGCAAGCGUUGUCCGGAAUUAUUGGGCGUAAAGAGCUCGUAGGCGGUCUGUCGCGUCGGCUGUGAAAACCCGGAGCUCAACUCCGGGCCUGCAGUCGAUACGGGCAGACUGGAGUUCGGCAGGGGAGACUGGAAUUCCUGGUGUAGCGGUGAAAUGCGUAGAGAUCGGGAGGAACACCUGUGGCGAAGGCGGCCCCCUGGGCCGGCCCUGACACUGAGACGCGAAGGCGUGGGGAGCGAACGGG
rnacentral:rRNA from 1 species